UACAGAGGUGGCAAGCGUUGUUCGGAAUUACUGGGCGUAAAGGGCGCGUAGGCGGUUCUGUAAGUCCCGCGUGAAAUCCCCCCGGCUCAACUGGGGAACUGCGCGGGAGACUGUGGGGCUAGAGUUCAGGAGAGGGAAGCGGAAUUCCGGGUGUAGCGGUGAAAUGCGUAGAUAUCCGGAGGAACACCGGUGGCGAAGGCGGCUUCCUGGACUGACACUGACGCUGAGGCGCGAAAGCAUGGGGAGCGAACAGG
rnacentral:rRNA from 1 species